CCACCACCACCCCCUGGGGGGUCCACCAUGAUAAAAUAAAAUGAAAUGAAAAAUAUUUCUCUCGCUCUCUUCCUCUCUGUUCGCUACUCCCGAGGGGAACUACUGUAGCCUACGGAAUAUAUCACGGGAGGGCAGAGCCGAUCGGAUGCAACGCCUGGCACCAAAAUGUCCUCAAACGCGCUCCGUGGCCCACCGUUUGGACCCACGACUCGGCAAACAUGCGGUGGCGUCCGUAGCCGUUACCGUAGGAAAUGGGAAUUAUGGGUGCCGUUGCACCGGACACAUACCCCUCGCCCGCACAGGCAAUCUCUGACACCCUAUAGUGGGCAUUUGGCUACGAUGCAUAUGUACAUAUCUCUCUCUCUCUCUCUCUCUCCUGAUCUCAUUUGCUGGCUACAAGUAUACGUGUGUCCCACCUCACGUGGCCUGGGCCCCACUCAGUUUAACCUCACCCGCACACGUCGCGUCACCCGACCCAAUACGCUGUGCCAUCAUUCGCUGCCAUCCCGUAAACAGGGUCCCGUAGCUGAUCAAGCUAGGGACCUUUUUAUUAGCUAAUAGCGUUUUGAGAGUAGUAGAUGGGGAUUAUUAUCUUAUACGCGUGGGCCGCGUCGCACUCGUGAGAUGGGGCCAUGCAACGAGGACAGAAGAACGGUAGGUGUUCAGAUCUUGAUGUCGUUACUACUCUUCCUUUCGUUUUAAUCCAACUCCAGCGGAAAGGGAAGAGCCGGAACGGGAUUCUGCAUUAAUUUUUCUUCUUCACGGUUUGCUUCCUCUACGGCUAGCAACCCUAAAACGUUAGUCUCGGGACUAGACUCUGAUUUGGAAAAGAAUAUCUACCUCUCAUCUUCUUCAAGCAAUGGAAACGAAAACAGCCAGAAGGGAGGGGAGAGAAUGAGUGGGGCUCCCGGGGCAGAGGGGCCCAGGUGAUGGUCACUGCCCACCACCAAUAUCCAGGCCCCCUUCUCACCCCCACCCCUACCCUUCUUUCCUCCCCCUUUAUAAAUAUGCAAUCCCCCACUUCCCAAAUCUACUCACCUCACCUCACCUCACCUCAUCCAGCCACACAAACACAAACCAGCACCACUCCUCUGCCACUCACCUGCACUCUCUCUCCCCUUCUCCCAACCUUCUCUCUCUCACAUACUCUCUCGCCCACUUUCUACACCAAAUCCAUCCCACGGAUCUAUAAAAUCAGCCGAUCCAGUGGAGAAGCAGGGGAGGAAGAAAGAAAGAUAAGGAGAUCUAUGGAGCUGUACAUGGACGAGAAAUGGAAGCUUUCGAAGAAGGGGAGCACGAAUAGCAGCUGCAGCGCCAGCAGGAGGAUGGUGGUGGGCGAAGGCGGGCCCUUCCUCAAAAGAUCCGCGAGCAUGAGAGAGGGGAAGUCGAGUUCGGGCUCGCCGCGGUCCUUCUCGAGCCGGUGCGCCAGCCUCGUAAAAGAACAGAGAGCCAGGUUCUACAUCAUGCGCCGCUGCGUCACCAUGCUCAUCUGCUGGCGAGACUACCCUUAAUUUCCUCCAACAACCCCUCUUUUUCGCUUCCUUCGCAACGCCCAGAAGGAAGCGAGCAAGCAGGCCAGGAAACAAGAAAGCUAGGAGAUAGAGAAGAGAGAGAGAGAUGAAAGCAAGAAAAUUAGAUGUGCUUGUACAUAGUUUAUAGUCUGUUUGUUAAUUUUGUUUUUGGGUUACUCGUGGUUUUGGAGAAGUUUUGGGUCUGCUGUAGUCUGUGGUGGCGACGCGAUGUGAGGCCUGGAAAUAUUCAUCAAGAGAGAGAGAGAGAGAGAGAGAGAGAGAGAGAUAGGAAAGUAGGUAGGGA
rnacentral:lncRNA from 1 species